UACAGAGGUCCCAAGCGUUGUUCGGAAUUACUGGGCGUAAAGGGCGCGUAGGCGGCCUUCUAAGUCGGACGUGAAAUCCCUCGGCUUAACCGAGGAACUGCGUCCGAGACUGAAAGGCUUGAAUCCGGGAGAGGGAUGUGGAAUUCCAGGUGUAGCGGUGAAAUGCGUAGAUAUCUGGAGGAACACCGGUGGCGAAGGCGCCCACCUGGCCUGCUACUGACGCUGAUGCGCGAAAGCUAGGGGAGCAAACGGG
rnacentral:rRNA from 1 species